CAAUGGCAUCAUGAGCGGGGUGCCCCGGGGGACCGGGGAGAAUCGGGAAGCCGGUGAAAGUCCGGCACGGGCCCGCCGCGGUAACCGGGAAGUCGCCGUCCAUGCGCGUCGCGCAGCCACUGGGCCCUCGGGUCCGGGAAGGCGGACGGCCGGCGUUGAUCCGGAAGUCCGAAGACCGGCCCCGCAUCGACGUCGCCC
rnacentral:ncRNA from 2 species